AAACCAGAGAGAGAGAGAGAGAGAGAGAGAGAGAGAGAGAUGGCGGUGGCAAACGCAUGGAGUGCGCAGAACGCACCCUCACUCCCUCUCUUUAAACGCUCGUUUCUUGAUUUCUCUAUGAAAAAGGAGACGAAUUCCAACGUAUUGGGUUCGAUUCUUCAAAAACCCAUUUCAAAAAACGGCAGGACUUGGACCCUCUCUUGCCGUUGCACCAGCAGCAGCAGCACAAGCAGUAGUUCAUCUGUUUGGGAUUGGAAUCGAUGGAGUCGGCAUUUCUCGGAAAUCGAUCAGGCUGAGAGCUUCUCCUCGGUUCUUAAGUUUCAACUGGAAGAAGCUAUUGAGAAUGAGGAUUUUCAGGAAGCCGCAAAACUGAAAACGGCUAUUGCAGAAGCAGCUUCAAAAGACAGCGUAGCUGAAGUUAUGUCUCAAUUGAAGAACACAAUAGAUGAAGAGCGCUACCAUGAUGCAUCUAGACUGUGUAGGCUUACUGCAAGUGGGCUGGUUGGUUGGUGGGUGGGACUAUCAAAGGAUUCAAAUGAUUAUUUUGGCAGAGUAGUACGAAUAACCCCUGCUGUGGGUAGAUUUGUGGCUAGGAAUUACAGUCCAAGACAACUGAUUACUGCAUCUCCUGGCACCCCAUUGUUUGAAAUUUUUCUUGUCAAGGAUGCUGACCAGACAUACAUAAUUCAGGUGGUAUUCUUGCAGCCAGUCAAAAGCAGUUCGACACUUUCCACAUCACCGCUGUCAAAACCCACAGAUGGUCCACCCAUAUCUGACACUGAGAACUCUUCUGAGAAAGGCAUCCCGAUGAACAAAAAUGUAGAAGAAGAAAGCAAGGGGAAAAAUGCGCAUACUGAUGAUGUCAGUGAUGAAGGAAUAAAAGAUGUUAUUAAUUUCCUUAAAGACAGAAUUCCAGGAUUGAAAGUUAAUGUUCAAGUUGUCAACAUCGAUGUAACCGAGGAAAUAGAAGGAGAGAGUGGUUCUUUGGAAAAGUUAAUACAGGAAGAUGGUGAGGAGUCAAGUUCUACUGAAAAUUCCAAAGAUCUGGCUGAUAAUGCAGAUGAUAUUCAACGUGAAACAGUUUCCAUGGGUGGAGGGAGUGCUGAUCCGAGGGAGGAAGAAAAGAAUACGGGCACGAAGCUUUUCAUUGGUGGGUUGCUACAUAAUGAGGACAUCCCACCGAAGGCAUACGCACGGGUUCCAGCUGAGAUAAAGGAUAUGGAGAGGGAUUCUUUUGUGCUACAUAUUCCUGGGAGAGAGAGAGAUCCAGAAGUUGGUGAAGGUAAAGCAGCUAAGCUCAAGGUUGCAGCCAUUGCGGCCCAGGCAGUUUCGGAGCUUAUGCCUCUUGAUGUUGCUAAGGCGUUUUGGAGUGUGGAUAAGGCUCCUUCAAAGGUUUCUAGAGAUAUACGUGAAGUCGUCAAGCUUGUUAGUCAGGCGCAGAGGCGGAGCAGACUAUCUGCGACUACAAUUUUUAAUCGAAUCACUGCUCCCACCAAUGGCUUAGAUCCAUUUGAUGGCUUAUAUGUGGGUGCUUUUGGCCCUUAUGGCACUGAGGUGGUACAGUUGAGGCGUAAGUUUGGUCACUGGCACUGUUCGGAUGACACCGACAAGGGGACUGAUGUGGAGUUUUUUGAAUAUGUGGAAGCAGUGAAGCUGACAGGCGAUCUGAAUGUCCCAGCUGGCGAGGUAACAUUCCGUGCGAAAAUUGGCAAGGGGAGUCGGCUCCCAAAUCGGGGGGCCUAUCCAGAGGAACUUGGGGUGGUUGCAAGUUACAAGGGUCAAGGAAGAAUAGCGGAACCCGGAUUCCGGAAUCCACAAUGGGUUGAUGGCGAGCUACUGCAACUCAAUGGAAAGGGGCUACAGCAGCAUGUCAAAGGUGCGGAGCUCGGGUUCCUUUAUGUUGUCCCUGAACAAAGCUUCCUUGUGUUGUUCGACCGUUUGAAGCUCCCCGAGUGAAUUCCACACGACAUGCCAUGUUUCUCAUUGGUGCUUCUGACAUGGGUGGGGCCGCUUUUGGCCUUCUUCUGCCAAAGGUAAGGGAUGCCAUUUUUUAAUGGUGGAUUUCAACACAUUGCUGUAUCAAUAGCUGAAAUUCUGUUUGUAGGGCCCAAGCUGCUCCAAAGUAGGGAGGAGAGGGUUUCUAUCUUGUGGAUUUAUGUUUUGAUGACCAAAGGCUUGGAAAGCCUUGAACACAAGAAAUCACAGAAAGUCUCUUGAUAUUGGAACUCAUAAAGAGGCAAGAUCCAGCUUGUAUGACUCAACUGUAUGCAUUCGGGACUUCUGCAAUAAUACAUUGGAACUGAAAAAGGAUCGCACAGGAACCUACUUUUCCAAUCUAUGGAAAAGAAAAGACUGGAAUCCAUUUUCAGCUUCGAAGUUUUCCAUAAAGCAUGCAGAAUCAAUGUCUCCUAAGGAAAGAUGAAUUAAUUUCCAAAAGUGGAAAGGAAAUAAGGUGACCACUUCACUAUUAACUUUCUCACAUUUCUACAUCAAUCCAUGGAAAACUACUCUGCAACAAACUAAGGUUUCUUUAUGGAAAACACGGUUUUCCAUGGAUUCCAUGUCAAAAACGGUCUUGGUGAAAAGUGCUUGAAUUGGCAUUCCACCAUUUUUAUUUUUUUUUCACGGCACACACAGGCCGUUUGAAAGGCAUGGGUAUUUGUAAAUGCAGAGAAGUGCAUUCCAUGUUGGGUAGAAUGGAUUUUCUCCAUUGCCCAUAAGUAAGCUUGUUCUAGUCUUUUUGGAACUGUAAGCUCGUCUCUUGUCUGCUUGGAAACAUUGAAAAGAAAAUAAGAGAAAAGAAAAGAAAAGAAAAAUAUAAUAAUUAUCUGAUUAUUAUUUCAAUGGGCACUAUUGAAACAUAGAUUUCAUUUUAGAUGUCUUGUUUGGAUAGCAAGUGUAAAUCUUAUGUUCCUCUCACAACAGUCAUCUAGUUUCUUUGCUAUUCAAACUUCAAAAUACUGCUCUUGGAAAUAACCAUCAGAUAAUUGUUCCAUUUUUUCUCUUCUUUUCCAUGUUUCCAAACAGGAAGAAUGAGAUUU